UUAAGGGAUUUAAGUAGAAUUAAUAAUGUUUUUCUUUGAAAGUAGUUUAAAUUGUGUAACGAUUCAUUUUUAACUUCAUGGUGUAUAAAUAAUAAAUGUUUAAAAAUUUAUAUUUAGGUAAAUAUAAUGUUAAUAUGAGUAUUGGUUAGAAUUUCAUAGUUAGUAUAUCCAAAAGCGUUGUAGUUGUGGGUGGUUUACGUUAAGAAAAAGUUAAGUAAGGUGAAGGAAUUCGGCAAAUAUUAAUCUCGCCUGUUUAUCAAAAACAUGUCUCUUUGUAAAAUAUAAAUAGAGAGUCGGGCCUGCUCGGUGAAUAAGUUUUUAACAGCUGCGGUAUUUUAACUGUACUAAGGUAGCAUAAUAAUUUGCCUUAUAAUUUGAGGCUAGAAUGAAUGGUUUGACGAAGGUUAAUCUGUCUCCAUCUUAUUUUUUAGAAGUUAAUUUUUAAAGUGAAAAAGCUUAAAUCUUUCAAAGGGACGAGAAGACCCUAAUGAGCUUAUAAUUUUAUUAUCAUUAUUUAAAACAUUUAGGUGGUGGUAUAUAAAUUUUAAUUGGGGUGAUUAAGGAAUAAAUUGUGUAUAGUAACUUCCUUAAAUUAGGUAUUUGUAGAUAAAGUAACCAAUGUAAUAUUGCUUAUAGUAUAGUUACCAUAGGGAUAACAGCGUAAUUUGUUUAGAGAGUUCUUAUUGAAAAACGAGAUUGCGACCUCGAUGUUGGAUUAAAGUAACCCUAAGGUGCAGAAGCUUUAGUAGGUAAAUCUGUUCGAUUUUUAAUACUUUACAUGAUCUGAGUUCAGACCGGCGUGAGCCAGGUUGGUUUCUAUCUUUUAAAAAUGAGUGUUGCUUCUUUUAGUACGAGAGGACCAAGGAAAGCUGAAAGUAUUAUUAAAAU
rnacentral:rRNA from 1 species